CUUCAGUAAGUUGACUUAUAUGUACUCAUACUCUGCCCUUCCUUUCCCAGCUAUUGCUUUUGUCUUUAAUCAAAAACGUUAUUGCGCUUUAUUCCUCUCCCAAUUCUCUACCUGCUCUAUCUAGCUUAUUUGUACAUUGGAAUAACAUACAUAUUUCCUUCUCCCGUCUCCUUCAGAACGCUGUCGGAAAGAGAGCUUGUGAACCAAAUCGGACAGAUCAUCGUUGCGCCGCAGCAUUUCAGCCAUCCCCUUGCAGCCAGAUUUGAUUUGGCUAAGCUGCAGUUUUUAGAACCCUGGGUAAGGCCUAGUUUGUAUUUUAUAGCCUUCCUGCUUCCCUGUAGAGAGUCAAAGAGUGAAAGUUUAAUUUUGAAAACUAAGAGAGUCUACGUUGAAGCUCUUUUCUCUUAUACAUUACCUUUUUCACUUUAUUUUAGAAUGCGCUUCGUAUCCGAGUCAUAGAAGCCAAAAACCUUGUUGCCAAGGAAAUUUUAACCAAAUCGUCGAACCCUUAUGUUGUGAUAUGCGGAGGAGGAACAACAGCAAAGACAAGGGUGAUACACAAGAACUUGAAUCCAAAGUGGAAUGAGACCUUUGAGAUAUUAUAUUCUGACCUCCCAGACCAGGAGAUAGAAUUUAAUCUCAUGUCUGACAAAGGCGUUAAGAUAAACCAGCAAUUGGGCAGUUGCAGAAUUAGAAUUAAAGAGGUGCCAGAGAGAGGAUUCAUAGACAAGGUAAGUGUAGCCAGUCAUGUUGAUAUAUAAUGAUAAUAAUAGUAAUACUAAUAAUACAAAGCUUUCUGAGGCAUCUGACUAUGUUUUUUUACUUUACUAUU